ACGCCCGAAGUCGUUACUCCAACCCUUGUGGAGGAGGACGUCGAAGGUGGGGCUGAUGACUGGGGUGAAGUCGUAACAAGGUAGCCGUACCGGAAGGUGCGGCUGGAUCACCUCCUAACAGGGAGACAAACAACGAUUUUGAUGUCUGAGUGCUUUAUUCUCAGGCCGAAAUCCUGUCACCUUAGGUCGAUCGGUACCUCAGCAUUGAGAGCAAUGACUGAUGAGCAAUCAUCAGGAGAUUGAAGGAGAUGUUCAGUUCCUAAACUUUGUCUAGGUCACACCCCAAAAGGGAUGAGACUCCUGGGCCAUUAGCUCGGGUGGUUAGAGCGCACCCCUGAUAAGGGUGAGGUCCCUGGUUCAAGUCCAGGAUGGCCCAUUCGGUGUUGGGGGUUUAGCUCAGUUGGUAGAGCGCCUGCUUUGCAAGCAGGAUGUCAGGAGUUCGAGUCUCCUAACCUCCACUGACCGAACUGUAUCCCCAUCUCCACGAACUGGAGUAUGAGCUCGAUUGGCGUGUGAUUUAGAUGUGUCCGCUGGAUGACCCCAGCUUCCUGUCAUUCCAAAUGAAAGCAAAGGAAUUUGCUUGAAUUGUAUUUGGUUGAUAAGAUGCUGGGCUCGAAUCAGAUGAUCAAGCAAUUGGUUGUUUGGUUUGAAGUUCUAGCAGAACCUUGACAACUGCAUAGGUAAGUCUGGAAAACAAAGCAUCUUACAGAUGCAUUGUUUUGAGUCUGAUCUCUUGAAAGAGAGAUUGGAACCAGAACAAUGAAAAUUCUUUUGAGCAAGAGCCGAGACUCUUAAACGUUCUUUGAUUCGUGUCGAGCGGAUCAGAGUUUGAUCUUGUUUUUAGCAAUAAAAACUUGAGAAUCUGCUUACAACGGCGGUAAGCGUUUAGGAGGUUAAUUGGUCAAGCUACAAAGGGCUCACGGCGGAUACCUAGGCACACAGAGG
rnacentral:misc_RNA from 1 species